rnacentral:tRNA from 1 species
AGCCCCAUCGUCUAGUGGUCAAGGACACGAGGCUCUGAACCUCGUUACAUCGGUUCGAAUCCGAUUGGGGCUA